AACGAUGAAGCCCACUUGUGGGUGGAUUAGUGGCGAACGGGUGAGUAACACGUGAGUAACCUGCCCUUGACUCUGGGAUAAGCCUGGGAAACCGGGUCUAAUACUGGAUACGACCUUCCCGCGCAUGCGGUGUUGGUGGAAAGCUUUUGUGGUUUUGGAUGGACUCGCGGCCUAUCAGCUUGUUGGUGGGGUAAUGGCCUACCAAGGCGACGACGGGUAGCCGGCCUGAGAGGGUGACCGGCCACACUGGGACUGAGACACGGCCCAGACUCCUACGGGAGGCAGCAGUGGGGAAUAUUGCACAAUGGGCGCAAGCCUGAUGCAGCGACGCCGCGUGAGGGAUGAAGGCCUUCGGGUUGUAAACCUCUUUCAGUAGGGAAGAAGCUGAUCUUUCGGGGUUGGUGACGGUACUUGCAGAAGAAGCGCCGGCUAACUACGUGCCAGCAGCCGCGGUAAUACGUAGGGCGCAAGCGUUAUCCGGAAUUAUUGGGCGUAAAGAGCUCGUAGGCGGUUUGUCGCGUCUGCCGUGAAAGUCCGGGGCUUAACCCCGGAUCUGCGGUGGGUACGGGCAGACUAGAGUGCAGUAGGGGAGACUGGAAUUCCUGGUGUAGCGGUGAAAUGCGCAGAUAUCAGGAGGAACACCGAUGGCGAAGGCAGGUCUCUGGGCUGUAACUGACGCUGAGGAGCGAAAGCAUGGGGAGCGAACAGGAUUAGAUACCC
rnacentral:rRNA from 1 species